CCUACGGGAGGCAGCAGUGAGGAAUAUUGGUCAAUGGGCUUACGCCUGAACCAGCCAAGUCGCGUGAGGGAAGACUGCCCUAUGGGUUGUAAACCUCUUUUGUCAGGGAGCAAUUGGCGCUACGUGUAGCGUUAUCGAGAGUACCUGAAGAAAAAGCAUCGGCUAACUCCGUGCCAGCAGCCGCGGUAAUACGGAGGAUGCGAGCGUUAUCCGGAUUUAUUGGGUUUAAAGGGUGCGUAGGCGGAAUGCCAAGUCAGCGGUAAAAUCGCGGGGCUCAACCUCGCUCCGCCGUUGAACCUGGCGGUCUUGAGUGGGCGAGAAGUAUGCGGAAUGCGUGGGGUAGCGGUGAAAUGCAUAGAUAUCACGCAGAACUCCGAUUGCGAAGGCAGCAUACCGGCGCCCAACUGACGCUGAAGCACGAAAGCGUGGGUAUCGAACAGGAUUAGAUACCCGGGUAGUC
rnacentral:rRNA from 1 species